CACCUGCAAUGGCCCACUAAUUUGAUGAUGGUGGUGAUCAACACGUGUAUAAGUGUGAUAUAAAGCAAUUUGAUCACUACAUGCAUGUUGUUGGAUUUUGUGUAGCCUAUUAUAUAAAUAUACAUAUACACCUGUAUAAAUUUAUAUUUAUUCGUUAAAUUAUAUUGAGAUUUUCAAAGUUUAAGUUUAUAUAUAUGGAUGUAAUUGUUUUAUGAUAAUAUAUGCAGAAAAAUAUUCAAAUUGGCUUGCACGAUAAGUUUAGCCUACAUUCAUUGAUUAAAAACUUAUUCCACUUCUGACAUGUGGUAAACCAAUGUGCAGCCAUAUGUUAUAGAAGUAAUAGAUACUGAAGUGAUCAAAAUGAGAUCUCAUAGAGAUGGAUAUUAACUUGAUUGGAUGGAUCCUGCAUGGUGAUCGAAUAACAACAAAUGCUUGAUCAUUUACUGAAGAAUUGAGCCAUGUAUAUUGCGACGCCAACUACCUACAGGUGAUGGAUCGAUUUUUGUCCAAUGGUCAUGUGAGUGUGCUAGUAUCAUAAGUAACUUUUGUAUCAUUAUUAAUCCAUGUUAUGUGAUAAGCUUGCAAUGAGGUGACACUAUGAUAUGUAUUCUCA